rnacentral:rRNA from 1 species
AUGAACGCUGGCGGCGUGCCUAAUACAUGCCAGUCGAGCGAACAGACGAGGAGCUUGCUCCUCUGACGUUAGCGGCGGACGGGUGAGUAACACGUGGAUAACCUACCUAUAAGACUGGGAUAACUUCGGGAAACCGGAGCUAAUACCGGAUAAUAUAUUGAACCGCUUGGUUCAAUAGUGAAAGACGGUUUUGCUGUCACUUAUAGAUGGAUCCGCGCCGCAUUAGCUAGUUGGUAAGGUAACGGCUUACCAAGGCAACGAUGCGUAGCCGACCUGAGAGGGUGGUCGGCCACACUGGAACUGGGACGCGGUCCAGACUCCUACGGGAGGCAGCAGUAGGGAAUCUGCCGCAAUGGGCGAAAGCCUGACGGAGCAACGCCGCGUGAGUGAUGAAGGUCUUCGGAUCGUAAAACUCUGUUAUUAGGGAAGAACAAAUGUGUAAGUAACUAUGCACGUCUUGACGGUACCUAAUCAGAAAGCCACGGCUAACUACGUG